rnacentral:rRNA from 1 species
AUUGAACGCUGGCGGCAUGCUUAACACAUGCAGGUCGAACGCGAAAGUCCUUCGGGGCGAGUAGAGUGGCGGACGGGUGAGUAACGCGUGGGAAUCUACCCUAGAGCGGGGGACAACCCGGGGAAACCCGGGCUAAUACCGCAUACGUCCUACGGGAGAAAGAGGGCCUCUGCUUGCACGCUCUCACUCCAGGAUGAGCCCACGUCCGAUUAGCUAGUUGGUAGGGUAAAGGCCUACCAAGGCCACGAUCGGUAGCUGGUCUGAGAGGAUGAUCAGCCACACUGGGACUGAGACACGGCCCAGACUCCUACGGGAGGCAGCAGUGGGGAAUAUUGGACAAUGGGCGCAAGCCUGAUCCAGCAAUGCCGCGUGUGUGAAGAAGGCCUGCGGGUUGGUAAAGCACUUUCAG